ensembl:lncRNA
AGACUGUGUGGCCACCCAUGGCUCCAGUACCAUUGUGAAGUUUGCUGACGACACAGUGGUAUUGGGUGCUAUCUCCAACAAUGAUGAGGCAGUCUACAUAGAUGAAGUGAAGAAUCUGGUAUCGUGGUGCCAGGAUAACCACCUCUAGCUGAACGUCAGCAAGACCAAGGAGCUGGUGGUGUCACAACACCAGCCAACACAGAGAAGAGGACUCAAAUGCAGACACCACAUGGAGGCUCGGAGAUUCUGUCAGAGAUCAAGAAAGAAACAAGGGACAAAGCUGAAGAGAACUGACUGCCAUUGGACUGCAAAGUGGGAGAGGAGAACAGAGUGGAGGAAGCAGCGGACCGAAAGUGUUACUGACGGGAAUCUACAGCGUCUUGAGCUGAAUUAAGACUUCAGAAGUCAUUCGUCAUGUCGAAUGACCAGCGGAUAAACUCUCAGGUGAAGAGCCUGAGGCCGGUGACAGUCCAGUUUUACUCUAAGUCGGGGCUCGCAAAAUUUCAAAAUCUCUGGUAGCCCUUCGGGCAGGCACUCUUCAGUUUUUGGUAGCCCAAAAUAAAUGUGAAGAGCCUGAGGCCGGUGACAGUCCAGUUCUACUCCAAGUACAUCCUUACGGUGGCUCACAGGACAAGGCCACAUUCCUGUCCUGCC